rnacentral:rRNA from 1 species
CGUGUAGGCGGCUCAUCAAGUCUGGUGUGAAAUCGCAGGGCUUAACCCUGCAUAUGCGCUGGAAACUGGUGGGCUUGAGUUCUUGAGGGGAAGCUGGAAUUCCAGGCGUAGGGGUGAAAUCUGUAGAUAUCUGGAAGAACACCGGUGGCGAAGGCGAGCUUCUAUCAGAGGACUGACGCUGAGGCGCGAAAGCGUGGGGAGCAAACAGGAUUAGAUACCCUGGUAGUCCGCGCUGUAAACGAUGUGCACUAGGCGUGGGGCACGUACGUGCUCUGUGCCGUAGUUAACGUGUUAAGUGCACCGCCUGGGGAGUAUGCUCGCAAGGGUGAA